rnacentral:lncRNA from 1 species
UUUUUUUUUUAAAAUCGUACUUGCUCAGUUCCAUUUUUAUGUGUUGUCGUCGAUAAUAUUCACACGAGAUAGAAGAAUAAUUUUUAGCCUCUCUCUCUCUCUCUCUGUCUCUCUCUCUCUCUCUCUCUUUUAUUAUGUAGAUUCGUGAGCUGAAAUCUAAGCUACAAGAUGACAAAAGCGAAGGCAAAGUUUUAGUUAAAGAAGAGGUAAUGGUGUCUGAAAGUGAUGAUGAUAAGGCGAUAGAUCAUCAAGCAAAAACAUCAACGGAUGAUGUUCUAGCUGAAUGUGAUGAAGAUGAUGAUGCAAAUGAGCUCAACUUUGUUGAGAGCUUCAGCAGCAGCAAUGGAGUAAUGAAUGGUGCCUCAAUUUUUACUGAUUUUAAAGAUGGAUCGUGUGAUAGUGACUCAAGCGCAAUCUUGAAUGAGGAGAAUCUCAAUAACAGCAGCAGCAGCCCAAAUGCUGCUAUUUCUUCAUCUGGAGGAGGGGUUGUUCUUCAAACAGUACCCCACCAGUUCUUGAUAUCCAAUGGAGGAGGAGGAGGAGGAGUUGGUGGUUCUUCAUCAACAACCAUUAGUAAUGGAUUCCAGUUUGGUCAUGACUCAAAAGCAGCAAUUCUUGGAGAAGCUCACAAAUCAUCAUCAGCAGCAGCAGCAGCCGCAUACCAGCCACAGUUUGUGAAAAUUGAGGAGCACAAUUUUUUCAGCGGUGAUGACUCAUGCAGUACCUUUUUUUCAGAUGAUCAACCUCCCACUCUUCAUUGGUAUUGCCCUGAAGAGUGGAAUUGAAGAGAAAAAAAAAAAAAGGAAAAACCCUCGUCCAAUAAAAAAAAAAAAAGAAAAAAAAAACCACCCUUGGGGAAAAAAAUAAUUAAUGAUACUUGAGACAAGGAGAAAUCAAGAAGAUAUAUCUCAAUUCUGAACCCAUCCAUGCCCGCUUCCAAGGGGAAAGAAGUUUUGUAUAGUGGUAAUUUUAUUUUAGUUGAAUAUGAUCAUGUAAUUAAUCAAGAAGAAGGUCUCUUCAUUGUACAAAAAUGAAGUUACAAAUGCAGUUCCAUCAGGAUCCAAGA